AGCGAACGCUGGCGGCAGGCUUAACACAUGCAAGUCGAACGGGCAUCUUCGGAUGUCAGUGGCAGACGGGUGAGUAACACGUGGGAACGUACCCUUCGGUUCGGAAUAACUCAGGGAAACUUGAGCUAAUACCGGAUACGCCCUUUUGGGGUAAGGAUUACUGCCGAAGGAUCGGCACGCGUCUGAUUAGCUUGUUGGUGGGGUAACGGCCUACCAAGGCGACGAUCAGUAGCUGGUCUGAGAGGAUGAUCAGCCACACUGGGACUGAGACACGGCCAAGACUCCUACGGGAGGCAGCAGUGGGGAAUAUUGGACAAUGGGCGCAAGCCUGAUCCAGCCAUGCCGCGUGAGUGAUGAAGGCCUUAGGGUUGUAAAGCUCUUUUGUCCGGGACGAUAAUGACGGUACCGGAAGAAUAAGCCCCGGCUAACUUCGUG
rnacentral:rRNA from 1 species